rnacentral:lncRNA from 1 species
AAAAAUAGACUAAUAAACUAACCAAUUAAAGUCUUCACCUGAAGACAAAACAUGCAUGUACAUGUCGUUGCAUGCCAAAUUGAAAUAUGGAGGUUGUGAAGCCAAAUAACCAACUCUCGUUUGUAAGGAAAAGAAAAUACUUAUGAUCACAUGCUUGUAUUUAGACAUGCUAGGUCCAACACAUGUCCUCCUUUUACAUCAAUGAUCUUCUCUUCUUUACCAUUACUGCCAUCCUCUUUUUCUCCCACGGCCAUCUUCUCUAUAUUACCAUUACAGCCGCUUCCAUUGGUUCAACUCGCCGUCACCGACAACAUGCAACUCAUUUCAAUCAUAUAUACAGUACAAUGUUCAAGGAGCACUCUAGCUUUUAGAUACAUAAUUGUUGAUGUCUAAAUUGGAUCAAGCAUACAUAGUACCUCUGCACAAAUUACACGAGAAUGAUUCUGUCAAAAGAAAUGAUGCAACCAACAGAAUUCAUAUUUUGGCUACAAUAAACAAAGGAUAAAAUUAGCACCAGUGCGGUUCAGAUUACCCGAUCAUAGUUCUUCUCUCGCAUAUGUGGAAAUAGUCCUACUACUUCAGCAUGGAAGCCAGGCACAUCCUUCAUGUAGUAAAUUGUAUGUUCACAAACCUUAUGAACAUUUAAAAAUGUAGCCUGCAUUUUCACAAUCACCUAAACAAUAUUGUUCACCAGAACUGGAUUAAAAAGUAAAAGGGUAUAUGAAAAACAAUCAUACAUUAAAACUUACUGUGCGAACAUCUGAUAUAUGCUCAGAUAGUAGUGUGAUUUGAUCAUCCAAAUUGCAUCGAAAAGUUGAUCUCAAUAUAUCCGUGAAUCCUCAAUCAUUGCCUGGUGUAGAGGAAGAAAUGCUCAAGGCACAUAGACAGGAAAACCAAAUCAACAUGCCCGUUCAAGUGAUUGAUGCCGGUUCCAUCGUUUUAUGUACAGAAGUAUGGCACUGACACUGCAAGAUACAUAAGGUCAGCUGAGACCCGUACAUUGUUUACCAACCGUUCUUUGUAAUGCUUGAGUCAUCCUCGUUCACCUCCAAUCUGAAUGUUUUCCCAACACAAAAAAUUACACAUACGUGCAACUUUAACAAUGUUUGUGUUCGCUUGUCUAGAACAGUUACCAUUCUAGUCGUACAAUUGCAGUUAUACCUUUUGCGUACAUGGUCCUUGCACUUAGGAUUUGAAAUUGUUCCUUUUGCAUAUGGUUGGAGCUGCCCAUUCACCAUCUUCCUCAACAUCCUAGUCGUCGUGAUUGGUUACAUUUAAAUGGCAAUUAACAUUUAUGUAACAACUUGUAUAACUCUACUGAAAAUCAUAUGCAUGCAAAUUUUCAACAGCUAAGUUAUCCCACACGGUAUUUCGCAAAAUGAUUUUUUUAAUGGGUCCAAAUUGAAUGCAAAGUAACCAUUGAUCCACAGAGAAAUCAAAAGGGUAACAAACCAUUCCAUUUUCUUAUUUUGUAUGCUAAUCAUGUAGGUCAGGCAUCGUCACUAAUUGUAGCCUCAAAGUGACACAGGUUUAUUUAACUUUGCAAACAAAGAUAGUAAGAUGGAGACAUCGAGAGGAAGCGAACUAUAAAAUUUCAAUCUUCAUUAUGCAACUAAUAACAAACAAAGCUUAACAAUAUUUUCUAUUUUCUUCUCUCAUGUUUGUCCAUGUUUUUUUAUGCAACUACUCAAGGGAAUGACCAUGUCUUUUUUAGCAGAAAAAGGCUAGAGCUCUGCCAUUUAAUUAAGCAAGAAAAAAAUUACGGACAUCAGACUCCAGGAUAACAUUCAGGGAUAAUCCAUAUGAAUUGCUUAUUGCCUUCUUCCUACUUCCUUGUUCUACUGUCUAGUUGAUACAGUCGUUUACAGGGAGGUCUCCAGGUGAACAUGUUGGUCAUUUAGCUUGGCAAGAGAUUAACUUUAGGGCCUAUUAUUAUGUAGGCAAGCAGAGCAAUUGAGGACAAGUAGUUUCUUUGGCUUGUUGGGUUAUAGGCCUUGUUCCUUUAAAUUCAGAGACGCACUAUAAAUUUUAACCAAUCUCAGCUUCAUGAAUAGGAAGUUCUCCUGCCCUUUUCUUAAGAUUAUCUGGCUGUUGCAUAUGUAUGAUCAAAGACAGAGAAGCACUGCAGAUAUAACAGAAAUAAUGCACUCACACUGUUGUCAGGUUCCUUGUACUUCAAGUAAUGAUGACGCGGCAGGGGGUAACAAUCUCGUACCAUGUUAGGCAGUCGCCGGCGGGCUUGGAGGAGGACCAGAGCACGUUUUUCCUACUCUGCUUUGCGCAUCUCCGCCUCCUCGUUCGCUGCUGCAACAUCUUUCCGUGCCCAUUGCAGGGGGUCGUCCUCCCCGGCUGGGUAUAAACCACCUUAACCGUCGUGGUGCCGCCCCUUCCAGUCAUUCAUCCACUUGUGUAGGACCGCCAUGACCGUUUUGCCUCAUAAGCACAUAAUUCAAAAAUAUAUGGGAUAUAAGAAGUAAGCACCAUUGCUCAUGUUAUAGAAAUAUCUCUUAAAAACAUCACUUUCUCUAUAGACAAUGUAAAGAAAAACUGAUAACAAUUAUUUUCAGCAGACCAAGAAAGAAUGAGGGUUUGCCGAGAAAUACUAAUGAAACUAACAAUUACCAUUGUACGUUCUAGCAUAUUAGAAAUUUCAUUUCAUUUACCAUGUAGUACAAAACCUAAGUUAUUGUCUGGAAGCAUAUACGUCAAAUAAAUAUAGUGGAAAGGACCACAAUGACAUACCUGCAGAAGAGCCACAACUUGAGCAGCAA